GCCCCAGCGGCCUGAGGCCGGUGAUUGGUCGAAAGUGCCAAGCUGCGCCCGCCUUAUCCGGUUCGCUCUGCACGCUCCGAUUGGCCAUUUGCUGCGGGGGCGGGGCUGUAGGGAGGCGUGCCAAGGUCAGAGACUUGGAAGCAGGGAAAGGGGAAUGAAGUUGCUAGAAUUGACUGAGAUCACUUGAGGAACAGCUGCUCCGUUCUUCCGCCGGCUGUAUUCCGGCUUUCAGAAAGCCUGGAAUGAAUUCCUGAGCAAGCUACAGUUCUAGAACUGUUAGAAUAAAGCAAGAGAGGAAAGCCAGAAUGUCAGACGUACAAGUUGUUCCCAUACCAGUUUGUGAACUGGGGUUCAUCUAUGAUGAAGUUUCUGCAGAUCAACAGAGAAAUGAGAAAAGUAUAUACAUUUCUGUUUAGACAUGAAAUUACCGGGCAGAAUUGCUGCGUUUUGGAAGUGAUUUUCCUGAAAUUGGAUGAGGAGCCCACUACUCAUGCUUCUCAAGCUUUUCCAUCGCAGUAUUCCUCAUGGCAGAGAAGGAUGGAGGCUGCUUCCCAGGGCAUGAGAUAGCUUCUGAAGGUACAGCAAGGGAGAAAUUUCUCUCAUAUUUUAUUUGAAGAAUUUGUUGGAACUUUGCAGUUGCUUUUUUAUUGUAUAUUGUAUAUAUAUUUCUAUUAGGCUUGGUAUAGUGCUUUAUAAUAGCAUGUUCAAUAUAUGUUAAUUGUUAUUGAUCAUGGAAUCCUGGGAGGAAAAGAAGCAAUGAACUUCCAAGCUAUUGUUCCACUUUCUUUCUGGUAAAAGGUUCUUGAGUCUGCAGUAGCAUCAACAGCAAUUUACAUGAUUAUACUAUGCGUGGAUUUUUGUUUGGAUUAAGGUCAAUUAAAUGUCCUUGAGUGAACACAGAUUUUUCUCUUGCUAUAAGUAGGAAAUUAAAAGUAGCUUUGAUCAUAUUUACUGCAGUGGAUGAUUAAGGCCAUCCAGGGGCAGUAUGAAAUAGAGAAGGAGCUAUCUACCCGGAGUCAGAGCUUUUCUCCUGAUGUGUACCUUACGUAGUCAGUUUGUGUCUUUGCUACCUGUGAAACAAGAAAGGGGGUAGUACAGUAUGGCAUAGUGGUUUUUAAGGACUUAAAAAAACAUGGUAAAUUUUAUUGAAAUGUUAUGUUGAGGGAAAGCGCACCACGCAUUGACAGUGAAAUGGAGCUACUGGGAUUCCUUGAAACACUGAAAACCCCUGAUGUAGAACAAAGAGCACUCUGGAGCCAGACUAAUAUUACUGCUUAGAAGCUCUGGGGCCUUUAGUAAGAUAUAUCUCUGAGCCUCAAUUUUCUUAUCUAUAAAAUGGGAAUAAGAAUGAUAAUCGCCUCAGAGGAUUGACAUAAGCAUUAAAUGAGAUAAUACAGUCGAAGCUCUUAGCAUAGAGCCUGGUAUAUAUAAGUGCUUCCCCAUGUGGUGUAUACCUAAGAGCUACUUGCUCAAAACUCUACUUUCUUCUGAAGAAGCUGUAAGAAACAAAGCUUGGGAGUUGUCAGCAGUUAGCACAGAUUUCCUUCAGUGAAAUAGGCCAUCUAUGGAGAGGCAGAUAAAAGAGCAAGUAAGUGGAGAGCAACAGGAGACACAAGACACCAAGGAGCCUGUUGGUGAUUGAGUUCCUGUUUCUGAUUGUUCCUGAGACCUAAUUUGAUUCUUAUCCUCAGUUCAUUGAGAAACCCCAAGAUCUUAUAAUAAAUUUCUCUUUUCCUUAGUGAGGAUUCUGGAUUAUGCCAUGAUGUCGCAGUUAAACUAGAAAUUAUGCUUUCCAAAAUCUCCUUCCAUGCUCAGUUCUGGGUUAGAGUUGACCAAAGAGGAACUACCAAGAGAGUAAAGGGAAGCAAAGACCAUUUUUCUUGGAAGGGCAAUCUUGGUCAGAUAGACACAGAAGUACUUGUGGU